AUCUGCCCCUAAGACGAGGAUAACAGUUGGAAACGACUGCUAAGACUGGAUAGGAGACAAGAAGGCAUCUUCUUGUUUUUAAAAGACCUAGCAAUAGGUAUGCUUAGGGAGGAGCUUGCGUCACAUUAGUUAGUUGGUGGGGUAAAGGCCUACCAAGACUAUGAUGUGUAGCCGGGCUGAGAGGUUGAACGGCCACAUUGGGACUGAGACACGGCCCAAACUCCUACGGGAGGCAGCAGUAGGGAAUUUUCGGCAAUGGAGGAAACUCUGACCGAGCAACGCCGCGUGAACGAUGAAGUAUUUCGGUACGUAAAGUUCUUUUAUUAGGGAAGAAUAAAUGAUGGAAAAAUCAUUCUGACGGUACCUAAUGAAUAAGCCCCGGCUAACUAUGUGCCAGCAGCCGCGGUAAUACAUAGGGGGCAAGCGUUAUCCGGAAUUAUUGGGCGUAAAGGGUGCGUAGGCGGUUAAAUAAGUUUAUGGUCUAAGUGCAAUGCUCAACAUUGUGAUGCUAUAAAAACUGUUUAGCUAGAGUAAGAUAGAGGCAAGUGGAAUUCCAUGUGUAGUGGUAAAAUGCGUAAAUAUAUGGAGGAACACCAGUAGCGAAGGCGGCUUGCUGGGUCUUUACUGACGCUGAGGCACGAAAGCGUGGGGAGCAAACAGGAUUAGAUACCCUGGUAGUCCACGCCGUAAACGAUGAGUACUAAACGUUGGGUAAAACCAGUGUUGAAGUUAACACAUUAAGUACUCCGCCUGAGUAGUACGUACGCAAGUAUGAAACUUAAAGGAAUUGACGGGACUCCGCACAAGCGGUGGAUCAUGUUGUUUAAUUCGAAGGUACCCGAAAAACCUCACCAGGUCUUGACAUGCUUCUGCAAAGCUGUAGAAACACAGUGGAGGUUAUCAGUUGCACAGGUGGUGCAUGGUUGUCGUCAGCUCGUGUCGUGAGAUGUUGGGUUAAGUCCCGCAACGAGCGCAACCCUUAUUGUUAGUUACCAGCACGUAAUGGUGGGGACUUUAGCAAGACUGCCAGUGAUAAAUUGGAGGAAGGUGGGGACGACGUCAAAUCAUCAUGCCCCUUAUGACCUGGGCUACAAACGUGAUACAAUGGCUGUUACAAAGGGUAGCUGAAGCGCAAGUUUUUGGCGAAUCUCAAAAAAACAGUCUCAGUUCGGAUUGAAGUCUGCAACUCGACUUCAUGAAGUUGGAAUCGCUAGUAAUCGCGAAUCAGCAUGUCGCGGUGAAUACGUUCUCGGGGUUUGU
rnacentral:rRNA from 1 species